AGAGUAAACGACAUAUAAUUUCAGUUACAGAUUUGCUUAAAAAAUCCAGCCUUGUCUAAGUCUACUUGCUUGAUGCUGACGGUCGUUUGCAUCCUAAGAGCGAAUAUAUGCACAAAGAAAUCUUACUGUUAGAGGAUUAAAUAUCUAAAGCACCAACUUUCUUUUGACUACGUCUUGGCAAGGUGAAAGAGACACACUGGACAGAAUAAGCCUUACGCUCUGAAGGUGUCUCACAGGCAAAAUUCAAGAAGCAUCAGCACUGAAGCAGUUCACUAAUUUGUCUCAUCUGUCACCGUUAUUUUGAGUUUAUCAUCUUAGUAUCUGAUUCAUCUAAAUAUCAGUUUCCUGUUCUCCAGACAGAUUCAACAGGUGACUAAAGAGGAAGAUGAAGACAAAGAUACACAGUAAACCACAUUUUGCGUUCCCUGUUGUGAUAAUUUUUGCUUUGUGUUUGCAAGUAAGUGCAAACCAUGCUGAGUACCCCAGAGUUAUAAAUGAAACCUGGAAUCCCAUCAGCAAAAACAUAAGAGAAGCCAAUACAAAUUCUCCUCCAACUAUCAGUUUCAACACAAAAACAAUCACUACUGAAAUGCAGACAGCCACCUCUCAGUCUCUCUCUUCAACAAUGGGGCAAAACUCUUCAGUGUCUUCAUCUCCCAGAAGUGCUGUUUCUGCCGCUGGAGGACCUAAGAAUACCAGCAAACCCAAGACUACACGGACAAAUGAAAUGUGUGAAGACAAUAAGUCUCUUAUACUGAUUUGCUUCAUUAUAAUAGCAGUGCUUGUGCUCAUCUGCACCUUCUUGUUUCUGUCAACAGUCAUAAUAGCAAACAAAAUGUCUUAUCUCAAAAAAGCUCAACAAGGAAAACGGAGGCCCAGAAGCAACGGCGAUAUUCUGGCUACCAACAGCUUAUGGCCAACUGCAGCAGGAACGUGGCAGAAGAUGCCUAAGGAGGCAGCUGGAACUGACUUGAUAAUGCAAGGGUUACUAGCAGGGAGAGAUGCUGCAAUCCAAAGGAAAACCCAAGAUCAAACUACUGAGAGAAUCACUAGAGAAACAGAUAAACAAGAAAAUGAAGAACUGAAGUCACACAAAAGCAUUUUAACCAAUUUUGUGGUUGAGAUUUAAAUCGGUCAGCUAAAAAAAAAACUCAGCUUUUACAUUUUUUAUUAAUUAAUAUGAUAAAAAAUGAUUAAUAUGAAACAAAAACUUAGCUUUCAAAUAACAACCGGAAUUGUAACACAGGAAAGCUAAACUCGCACCUUAGGGUUUUUCAUUUUAUGGUAGUGGGAAUGCUGUAAAAACGUGUAGAUCUAGGAGUAGGACUGCAUUACAAAGCUUCUUUAUAAAUAGCGCCAAGGUUGGUUUAACUCCUUUUGACCAGAAAUCACAGCUGAAGUAGCCAAACAGGAUAAAACAGAAGGACAGAAGUUUGUCCAUUCUCAAAGACCAUUGGGGGGAAAAAAGGAAAGGAUGGUUAGUCUAAUAAAUACAGCAUACUCUGAAGUGCCACACAGGCAUAUCCAGGUUGCUAUUUUAAGAAAACCGUAAUUCAGUCACAACUUUGACACAAUUACUGAAACAGGAACUAGUCUCUCAAAAUGCCCCUUCCACUUUCUCCAUCAAAAACUGUUUAAAUCAGCUUAACUGUUUUUGAACCAGAUUGAGAGCAAUCAUAUUUAUUGUUUUGACUUUGUGCAUAAAUAUAUGAAGUUUGUACUGUAUAUUACAAUAUAAAAAGACUUCCAUUUUGUUAUCCUCAAUAAACUAUCAUCAUCAUUUUUUAAAUAAAGUAUAUGUUAUUUCUCUAAGUCA